GGUAAAUUUCAAAAUCUGUAAUCCCAAGAGUUUAUAUGUGUACAGCAUUUUAUAGCUUAUAAAGAGCUUUUCCAUUGUGGAACCAACCUGGCCUCAUGAAUGGCAACAGGGGAAGAAGGAUUAAAGGGUGUUGACUAUGGGCAUUGGAUGGCUGUCUUCUCAAGUAUCUAAAAUUUAAUAUAUUUUGACAUAUAUAUGUUCCGCCUCGGCCUCCCUAAGUGCUGGAAUUACAGGCAUGAACCACCGCGCCCGGCUGACAAUUAAAAAUUAAUUUUUAUAUUCCCCUGUCUAAUUUACGUGGGAAAUCUGUAUUCUUUCUAGGGAUGGAUGUAUACUGAUUCUGUGUGUGUGUGUGUGUGUGUGUGUGUGUGUGUGAAUAUGUGUGUGUGUGUGCAAAAUAGCUACAUUAGCUUUAUUAAGAAUCUACUUUGUCCUCCUUCUGUUUUGUUAUACAUUUUAGUAUUUCCUGUCAAUAACUGAACAUAAAUGGUACCGUGCCUACAAUUGCUUCUUUCUGAUUCCCAAGUUGUUGCUUUGACCACUUGGAUAGCAGCAGGACAAGAUAAAGAGAAUUAAGUUUCAGUUCACUCCAACGCAUUUAACGUAUUUAAAAAUAUUUAUACUACAUGUUUAUCAAAUGUAUAGCAUUUUAUGAAGAUGAGAGUGCCAUUGUUUAUCACUUCCCCCAUUGUAUCUGUUUUUAAACACUUGACUUUAAUUUGAAAUAUUCCAUUUUUGAAGAGUUAAAGACGUUUCAGGUUUACAGCAUGUCAAAUGAGAGUUACAAGUUUUUCAAGGUAUUUAUUCUAUAAAGAAACACUGGGUUAAAAAUACAAUUCAUAGAACAACUUAUAAUUAAAUUGCAUCAAAAUUGCAAAUCCCAUAAUUGAUUAUAUUAAUGACAAUAUUAUUGGCAGAAAUUGAUUGUUAACCUUUUUUAUUGAAAAGAGGUUUUUCUGACUAAUUCGCUAUUAACAUAUUAAAAAUGAAUAAAACAUUAAAUAAAACCUAUAAAGAAACAAAAUAUUUCCAACUUACCCAAAGUGUUACAAAUUAAAUAUUUAUUAGAUACAUACAAUUAAGAUAAAAGUAUCCUGAGAACUAAAUAAUUAAAAUGCUAAAUUUCUCCCAAAAUAUAAAAAGUAAAGAAGAGAUCAUUCAAUAUAUACAAACACACUGAAAGGAGGUUUCAGUAUUUGGAAAACUCCUUUUAGACAAAGGGGUUUUAGGUAGAGUACCUUUAGGAAAAAUGGUGUAUUUCUGUGACUGUAACAUUGAUGUUUCAAAAUAUACCAUAAAAUUGCUUACAUAUAUUUAAAUGCUACUCAUAACUAUUCCAAAAAAACAUUUUUUACCCUCCAACACAUUUUUAAGUAUUUAUAAAAUCAUGUAUGUGUAUGUUUAUGUAUAUGUAUAUUUUGUGUCUAUACACAUAGAUAUCAGUUAUCUAUCACCACAAUAAUAUUGCAUAGGAAAGAACUACAACACCUUAAAAGCUUAAAACAAUAUAUUAUUUAUUUGUCUCACAGUAAUUACUCAUGUGUUCUUAGCUGGGCUUCUCCUGCAUCUGAAGGCAGCUAGAGUGACUAGAUAGCUCUGCUGAUCUUCUCUGGCCUACUCAAAUGUUUGUGACGAGCAAGUCUUAUCUGAUGGAGGAUGACCUUGGCUGGAAUGACUUUGUUGAUGCGGUCCUACUCCAUAUGUCUUCCAACCACUAGCAAGCUAACCUGGCUAUGUUCAUCUGCAAGAGCUGUGGCAGAUGCUUAAGUGCUUUCUUCUCAAGUCCAACAUAUGUUAUCACUGUUAACAUCCCAUUGAUGAAAGCAGGUCAUAAGCUUAAUUCAAAAUCCAGGGGUAUGGAAAUGUAUUUCACCUAUUUUGGGGGGAAGUCAUCAUAUGGCAGGUUGUUGAUGAAGGGAGGGGUGAAGAAUUGGAGAUUCCAUCUAAAUAUAAAAGUUACAGUAGAUUGUUACAUUGGAAUUAAUGUAACAAUCAGUAGAUUGUAAGUAGAUCAGUAAGUAGAAUGUAAGUAGAUCAGUAGAUUGUUACAUUAAUUCCAAUGUAACAAUCUACUGUAACUUUUAUAUUUAGAUUUUUAAAUAAGACUCACCUUAAUAGGAUUAGGAGAUUUUAUGGGCUAGAACUCAGAUAAAUCAUUAUCUAUAAUGAAAAACAAGAAAGGCUUGAAAUUUCCCUAAUAUAAAGACAACAGUUUUAUUCGGUCAGACAUUUUAAUAUUAAAUUUUUAUUUUAACUAUUAAUAAGUAAGAUACAAUUAAUGAAGGUGGAAUUGACUAUACACUAAAAGGAUUUGAGGGUAAAUAGCCAAAAGUAGAGAGGAAAAUAUUGAGCAUGUGUGUGAUAGCUUUCUGAAAUUCCAUGACAUUACUGCUCCCUCUCCUCUUGUAACAUAUCUUGUACUUCUCUUCUUCGGUUAUGUUUAGACAUCAUAGAAACACUUAAUGGCACUUGAGCUACAUCAGGCCAAAGAAAACAAAUGAACAAGUGGAAACAAAUGGAUUUCACUUCCAAAUUCAAAGCAUGAGAUGAGAAAAGAAUUCAAGAGUUUGGAAACCAGUCCUGGCAGUCAGCCAUUUAAAGGGUGCCUGCAUGGGCAUUUUAUGCCCAUAUAAGAUACACCAGAAUAGAGGAGAAAGGAAAGUAUACAUCAAAGCUGUAUAAUUGAAAUCAUAAAACUGUAGAGAUAUAAAAUAAUAAAGUGAAGCUAGUAUCAAAUAAAGGAGAUAAGCUUAGCUUUCAGAACAAUGGGACUUGAGUCUCACCCUUCUACAGCUUAUCAUUUCUAAAUGUUUGUAGGCUUGACAGGCAAUGCUGGAAUUAUCUCUGCCAGUUAUUAAAAUAAUUUUGUGUUAGUAAUAAUUUUGGAAACCUCUGUACUGAAGUUGCUUUUCUCUAGGAAAGCAUGAUUUUCUCCUUAAUGCCAGCUUGAGAAGAAUAAGGAUAAGUAGGAAAGAGGACUGAAACAUAAAAUAUGCAAAAUGUAUCUGAAAUAUUAGUUCAUUUUAAGUAAAAUCCUCGUAACAAAGUGUCUUCAGGAACACAAGAGUAAAAACAGCUUACUAUUAAAACGAAGGAAGAAAACUCUUACAAAUUGUAAACAUAUGGAAUAUUUGCAAAGCUCUAUCUCGACUGCUGGAAUAAUUUGUACUCAAUUUGUAACCAUGAGAAACAGUUUCUAAUUAAUUAGUCUGAAUCAUUUAUGCUUGGCAUCAUUCUUAGGUUGGUGCACUUAUUUUAGAAAAGAGGGAAAGUUCAAGGGACCUAGAGAUAAUGGAGAUAACAUAACUAUGAAUUUGCUAGCACAUACAUUUAAAAUCUGCAGCUCCUUGUGACUUAAAUACCUCCAACAACUGCUUAGGCAAUUCAUUCCACUAUCAGUGGUCCUUAAAACUUUUGAGAUAAAGAUCCCUUGAGAGAUUGAACUCUCCUUCCAUGGAUCAUUCAUAAACCAGAAUUUUAGAUUCACUUUGUAGAAAAAAAAAUGAUUUGUAGAACUACUGAAUUUUAGCUAUAUUGAAAAACAGUGUAACCCUGUCACGUUUAAGGAUAUAAAAGCCAUUCAUAGUGUUGCUAAUUAUACCUGAGCUGACCAGCUGGAGAAUUUUAACCACCUAAUAAUAAUAACAAUAAUAAUAUUAUUCAUAAAUUGGUAUAAUGUUUUAUAUUUAAAGCAUUUUCAGGUACAUUAUGUGUUUAUCCUCAAAACAACACUGUAAAGUAGGUAAGACUUUUUUUAUCAUUGUUAUUACUAUCACUACUAUUAUUACUAUUUUAUAAUCGAAACUACUGAAACCUCAUUCUAAAUGACUUCUUCAAAACAGCACUAAAUGACAGAUGUGGAAUGUGAAUGUAGGUUUUCUGUUUCAGGGAUUAGUAUUUAUGACUUUGUACCACUCUUUUCUGUGCAGUGUACUCCAUUUUUCUCUUUUCUAAAAUGUGCUUAAUAAUAGUACCUACCUCACCAAGAAAUAAAGAGACUUAAUUAGAUAGUAUGUAAAAAGCACUUAGAAUAUAGCACUUAGAACAUAGCAUUUAUGACAUAUAGCAAAUGCUUGAUACACAUAGGUUAUUAUUAUGAACAUACAUUAAUCAGAAUUCAAACUGUGAUGGUUAAAUAGAAACUUGAUACAUAAAAACGUGCUCAGAGUGAAUUUAUUUUCAAAACCAAGGACAUUUUCAAUUUGCCUAGAAUCAGCAAAUACUUAUUCUGGUGACUUCUAACAUAAACACUAAAGACCAACAAAAAUUGAUAUUUGAAAUGAUGUGAGUUUUUUAAAACAUUCAGUUAUAUUUUACCAUGCAUUUUAUGAAACCAGUGAUCCUCUCAGUUUUGGAGCACUAGUAAACUGGUGUGUAUUUUCUCUUAAACCCUGGAGACAAUCAAUAGGAGAGUGUACUUGAUGCUUAAUCAAGUUGUGCUCUAAUCUAGUGCAUAUGAGGUGUCGUGUUAUCCUGUACACCAGUCACCAGCUUCGGUUUCUGAGAAAGAAUACACAGAGUACACAAACAAAUAUAUAGCUCUUAUUUUUGUAAGGUCCUCUUACCUGAGCCUCACAGGCUUUCCUUUCCUGGUAAUCUAAAUGGAACAUAACUUCUUUAUAACUCAAGCUUACAUUAUCUCAGUGCUUCUUCAUCUUUGAGGUAUCCCUGUAUACUCAAGGAUUUUCUACACAUGGAAGACAUACUUCUACUAAAUAUGAGAAAGAGACCAAGCAAGUGAAAGAAUUCUCUUAGUAUUUUUAAGUUUCACAUUUUGUUCAGUAAUUGUCAUCUUUAUCAUUGUUUAGCCUUAGUCUUAGAGUUAAAGGAAAUUCACAUUAAUUCAGUCUUUUUUAUAACUGUGUCUUCAUUUAUUUCUUGAGUAGCUAAAAUUUACUCUUCUAUAUUCUGAGUUCUUGCAUGUUUAAAAAGUUUGUUGCCCUCACUGUUGCAUGAGAAUUCGGGUGUGUAUAAAAUUAUUGUCACACAUUCUCUUCUUUUGAGAACAUUGUAGACGUUACUCCAUGGUCUUCUAGUGUUCCUGUGAAACUUUCAGAGACUAGCCUGAUGAUUUACCAUUAAUAAGUAUGGUUAUCUUUAUACUUACACAUUUACAGUAUCAAUUAAAAAGUAUUAGUAUACUCUUUCUUUAUCUUGAAGUCCAGUUACUUUAUUAUCUUAAUACCAAUAAUUCUCUAUUCAUUUUCCCCCAACACAUGCUGUGUUCUUUCUGUUUUUAGAUGUAUCAUUAUAAUGUUGUAUAUUUCUGAGAAGUUUUCUUUAUUAUAUUUUUAAAUAUUUGUUGUGUUUUGUCAUUGUCAUUAUCACAUUUAGGAGAACAAUUUAUAUGUAUAUUGGUUUGUUUGCCUUCUAUAGUAAUCACUUUUUCUCUAGUCUCUUUAACUUCAUUUCCAUUUAAUUUUGCUUGCUGUUUUCAAUAUUAUUCUCCACGUUCCUUGCAGCAUUUUGUACUGUGUGAUUCUGCUAAUGUGUCCUGCAUUUCUAUAGCGAUCUUACUUUCUAUUCCACUUUCCUAAGUUGUUUCAGUUCAUAUCUCCCGCCUUUGGCUGUAAACUCUCAUAUUUCAUGACCUUUGGACCUUUUUUUUGAGUGAUUGCUUUAUAUAGACAAUAAUUUCAUUAAGUUUUUUUUAUUUAUGACAAUAUUUUUGGUUAUCUAUUCUGUGGCAAAAUUAUUUUGGUUAAUGUUCUUUGCUGUUUGAGUUUUCUAUUUCUUUCCUUAUUCAUGUGUCAUAAAUAAGCAACUGCAGGUAUCCCUACAUUUAUGUUGUGAUCUUUUGCUCUGUCCCACCGACUAAAUGCUUUCUGAAAAUACAGCAUGUCAUUAGGAUAGUUUUUCAGCCUUAAAUGCCCUGAUUUGUUAUUGCCAUAUUGGUUCAUAGAAGCUCCCAUGCUUAGCCCACACAUCCUGAUGCUUCAAUCAAGGGAUGUUACAUUGCAUUGCCUACUUUGGAAAUAUUGCCAGAUUAGUCUGAACUCUGCAACCAUAGCCAUCUUCCUCUGAUUAUUUCCAUUAUAUUGAUGGAAAUAAUAAAUUCUCUGAAUGAGAAUUCUCUGAAUUACAAUAUUCUCUGAAUUUGCUCAUAUUAUUGUUAUUCUAACUCAUAAAUGCAUCUUCUAGGUUUAUUAAAAGUAAAUUUUUCUUUACAUUUCAUAUUCUCUUUAUUUUCUAGUAUAGUACCAUUUCUUUGUGUUAAACAGGAGGAUAAAGAUGUGAUUUUUAAAACACAAUUUUCAUAGUGUUAUCCAAAAGCAUUGGAAAACCAUUAUAAAGUUGAAUUAAUUUUGUGUAAAUAACAUUAUUUCUAUUCUUAAACACAUAAGCCCUCUGUGAUAGGAAACAUCACAACGUACACUUACAAAGCAUAAGCUCCUACAUAAUAACCCAAAUCCAUUUGUUCAUUUAACAAAGGAGAAUGAUAUCUAGAAAGCUCUAAAGAGAUUAUGAAAGUGAAACAAAUUAAGAAUCUAAUGUAAUCCUGCCUGAUAUGGCUAACAAUGGGAAAAUCUUCUCAGUAAUUAACCAUGCUGGACUCAGACUUCCACGGUGUUUAUAAAGAUUCUUGGUUACAAAGGGUUUUAUUCUGAUGCAUAAAGAUUCUCCACAAAUCUUUUAUGAUGAGCUAAU
rnacentral:lncRNA from 10 species